rnacentral:lncRNA from 1 species
UUAGAGAUCAUAUUUGCAGAAAAUUUUUGAGAAUUAAAAACUUGAGAGCAUAAAGGACUGGAGAGCUCAGAAAUCCUGAAAAAAAUCAAAAUUAGAAAUAAACCAUGCAUAAAACACUGUUCUAUUCAAGUUUUUCCUGGGAUCCUUGAGGUUUUCAUGUACUAAAAUAAGCCCUGAAUAUUCAGAAGUUAAAAUAAGUUGAAU